rnacentral:rRNA from 1 species
UACGGAGGGUGCGAGCGUUGUUCGGAAUCACUGGGCGUAAAGGGCGUGUAGGCGGUCCGCUAAGUCUGAUGUGAAAAGCCCGGGGGCUCACCCCCCGGAAGGGCAUUGGAAACUGACGGACUCGAGUCCCGAAGAGGAGGGUGGAAUUCCUGGUGUAGCGGUGAAAUGCGUAGAUAUCAGGAGGAACACCGGUGGCGAAGGCGGCCCUCUGGACGGUGACUGACGCUGAGACGCGAAAGCGUGGGGAGCAAACAGG